UGUGCAAGUAUUGAACAUCAGCUUCAAAUGCAAUGUGAUCUAAAAGACAGCAUAAUAAUGGACAGAUGUUCUCUGGUCGUUAGUACUUGUUUGCCACACACAUGAAGAUAUUGAUCCUGCUUUCAGCUAAAUAUCAGAAAAAUUCAGAACAAAGGAAAGGAUGCUGAAACUGUACAGUCACCGGUCAGGAUUGUUUCAGAAGUGACAUUAUAAUACAAUAUAUGUUACUGGCUAAUUCCUAUGAUUUGUAAUUUUAAACAAAACACAUAGACUUUGCAUUAUUGUUUUACAAGAGAGACACCAAAAGAUGCAGUCAACAUUUAUCAUUUUUAUCAAAAUACACCCAGGACAAAUCAUGGGUACACUUAGCUUGAAAUAUGGUGCUUUCAUACCAAAAUUGCCUGGACAUAAAAGAAAUAAAGAACCAAAAUUCAUGUCAGCAAUCAUGCAGGGGAUAAGAUGAAAGAAUAAAGAAUAAGGCAGGAGUGAAAGGAAGAGAAACAGUCAUCAGUAAAGAAACAGAUCAAUUUACAUUAACAUGUAAUAAUUCCGUCUGAAUAUAACAAGCAUUGCACAUGUUAUGAAGAUUUAUUCACAUGUUACUAUGAUUUGUAGUUAUAUUUUAUUGUAUGUAUUUGUAAUAUUAUAUAGAACAUGUAUUUU